CGGUUCAAUGGAAUUUCACACUUAGGUUCAACCACGCCUAGUAUAUCCGAAUCACUCAGCUGCUACAUCCAUGUAUUUAUUGAACCUGAUUGAGAUCCCUCUUAUUGAGAUUUAUUUUCUUUUUUAAUAAUUACGAACACGUGUUGUGGGCCACUUGGUCAACUGCUCAGCGUCUGAAGCUGAGUUUGAGAUAUUCAACCAUACUGUAGCUUUAAAAGUGACUGUUUACUUCACGCAAUAUACAUUUCACACACUCCUUGAGAUGAAAUCAUUCCACCACCCAUCCCUAUAGUGGUCAGAUAUAAAAGACCAACACGUAGCCACGUUUAAACCGGGGAGCAGAGGAAGUUCUAGUGCCCAAUAAGGUUUUUUCUUUUAUCAAGAACAUACCUUAUACAUUUGAUACAAUAAAGACGCCUUUGGAUGCGCACGGGGCCACGCAGCAGUACAACUAUGGAUGUGAGUCGAGAUAAAUUACCUAAAGAUUUAGUGGUACUAAAUCAGCUCGAUGACGGCGCAAACCAAUUCACAGAUCACUCCACACCUACAGGACACGUCCGCACCAUAGGGGAUAGGUUUCACUUUGAGUUGGAUGUGAGUGAAUUCGCUCCCGAGGAUGUUGUCAUCACGUCUUCCAAUAAUCUCAUAGAGGUUUCUGCUGAAAAGAUGGAAAAAGACGGCACCGUCACAAAUACCUUCUCACAUACAUGUAGGUUGCCUGUGGCCAUGGACCCAAUGUCUUUGACCGCAUCGAUGGGAGACGAUGGGAUCCUGAAGGUUAAAGGCCGCAGGGAAGCCAUCUCCAUUCGUAAUCUGAAAUACACCAAUAAAAAAUAAAUCGUCUCAAUCUU